AAGCAUAUUGAAAAUAUAAUUGGAAAAGCUAUUAAAGGCAUGGCUGUGCUGCCUAGUAAGACCCAUAUAGAUUUUUGAAGCAUCUUUAUGAAACCAGAACGUAAACAAUUAUUAUAGAUUUAAAAAUUAGACUCACUAUGGAUAGGGUAGUAAGAUGAUACAACGAAUGCAGAGGUAACCGUCUAUAUUUGUUAUCAAUGGUUUCUAGGAACAUGGUUUUUCAAAACAGAUGUCAAUGGUUUUUAGAGUUUAGAUAAAGACAGUUAUGUACCAAAUUCAUGA
rnacentral:lncRNA from 1 species